AUGGAACAGUGGAGAACCCAAAGAAUAUUUACAGGGCAGAUACACAUGUAUUGAUCCAGUGUGAUGAUGGAUAUAAAUUUUAUGCCACCUGUACAAGAAAUGGAGUAUGGCAGAGUACAGAAAAGUGCAAACAUUCCUGAGGAUGAGACAGCUCUCAAUCAAAAACUAUUCCCUGGGGACAAAUGAACCCAUAAUAAACACAGUUAAUACAUAAUUUGCAGGCAUCAUAUCUAGAACAUGAGCUAUAACUUUUCACAGUGGAUUUGCCUUGUUCGAAUAUUACACCUGCUUUGGGGUAUUAAAAUUCAAUUGACAAAAUAA